AGAGCCGGCCGGACAGUCGCGCCAGGCCCCGCGCCUGGGGAGGAAAGUCCGGGCUCCACAGGGCAGAGUGCCAGGUAACGCCUGGGCGGCGUGAGCCGACGGAAAGUGCCACAGAAAAGAUACCGCCGAUGGCGCCGGCGGCAAUGCCGGCGACAGGUAAGGGUGAAAUGGUGCGGUAAGAGCGCACCGCGCGGGUGGCAACACCUCGCGGCAGGGUAAACCCCACUCGGAGCAAGACCAAAUAGAGGAGCCAUGAUGUCGCCCGCAUCGCUCCCGGGUAGGUCGCAUGAGGUGCGCGGUGACGUGCAUCCCAGAUGAAUGACUGUCCCCGACAGAACCCGGCUUACAGGCCGGCUCUUUUU
rnacentral:RNase_P_RNA from 1 species